AUUGAACGCUGGCGGCAGGCCUAACACAUGCAAGUCGAACGAGUGGGGGAGGGGUGAGCAAUGUCUGGGAGACUGCCCGAUGGAGGGGGAUAACUACGGGAAACGGUAGCUAUUACAGCAUACCAUCGGAUGUGCCCCGAUGGGAUUAGCUAGUAGGUGGGGUAACGGGUCACCAAGGCGACGAUCCCCAGAUGGUCGGAGAGGAUGACCAGCCACACUGGACCUGGGACACGGUCCAGACUCCUACGGGAGGCAGCAGUGGGGAAUAUUGCACAAUGGGCGCAAGCCUGAUGCAGCCAUGCGGCGUGUAUGAAGAAGGCCUUCGGGUUGUAAAGUACUUUCAGCGGGGAGGCGUUACUCGCAGAAGAAGCACCGGCUAACUCCGUGCCAGCAGCCGCGGUAAUUC
rnacentral:rRNA from 1 species